UGUAGUCUCAACGAUGAUGCAUACAUGUCAACUAUGGGUGUUGGGUCCAACAAUUCGCAUUGGUCUCAAACCAAUGACAUCCAUUUGGAAGACCAUGAGUUUGAGGUGGACGAGGAGGGUGAGGGCAUUGUCGACGUGCCGAAAGGAAGAGCGGGCAAUUACAGCACCAACGAUGACAAGUUACUAUGCAAUACUUAUUUGCAAGUGUCGAGGGAUCCAUCCAUUGGAGGUGAUCAAAGUAGAGAUGCGUAUUGGGGGAGAAUGAAAGAAUACUUUGAUGAUCACAAGUGA
rnacentral:rRNA from 1 species